rnacentral:lncRNA from 1 species
GUCUCACUCCAAAUUCCCUUGCUUCAGUAAGCUUCUCUAAGCCAAUGUUCCUUUGGCAUUACCCAUUUUCUUCCUAUGAAUGCAAAUCACAUAAACAUGGAAGUACAUUUGACCAUUUUAAUUGUUUAACAUUCCAUGUCACACGACCUUCCACAAUAGAAUCAAUGUAUUAAAAUGUGUUAAUGACCACACAUUUUACACAAAUGCCAUGAAUCCUUAAGGUGUUCCAAUUUAUAAAAUAUGUCUGCAAAUCAUACUUUAUGAUGCUUUGUAUUCUGUCGGUAAUUGGAUGUCAUAUAUUUAAAUUCUAUUAAACUGCUUAUUAAAAUG